rnacentral:rRNA from 1 species
UACGUAGGGGGCUAGCGUUGUCCGGAUUUAUUGGGCGUAAAGAGCGUGUAGGCGGCCAGGUAGGUCCGCUGUGAAAGUCCGAGGCUCAACCUCGGAAUGUCGGCGGAAACCCUCUGGCUAGAGUCCGGAAGAGGAGAGUGGAAUUCCCGGUGUAGCGGUGAAAUGCGCAGAUAUCGGGAAGAACACCCGUGGCGAAGGCGGCUCUCGUGGAACGGUACUGACGCUGAGACGCGAAAGCAUGGGGAGCGAACAGG